rnacentral:lncRNA from 1 species
ACCCUAAGAAAAGACUUGAGUACUUUGAUCUAACGGAGGACAUGACACAAAUGAGCGCAAUGGCGUUCUAGGAUUCAUAUAGCCGACCCCACUUAGUGGGAAAAGGCUUUGUUGUUGUUGUUGUUGUUGUAAGUUGUCAUACAACUUAAGUCAAUGGGCUUGACGUUCGAAGCCCAUUGGGCCUUGAGGCCUAAAACUAACCCGUGGUCUUUUAACGAACUUUAUUCGUUUGAUUAAUUAACAUAUUAAUUAAUCCUUGCCAUAAAUAAUUAAAUCAUUUAAUUAUCCUUACUCAUCUCCUUUGUUUCUUCAAUCUCUACCUUACACGGUGUACGAUCCAUUAGGUUCCUUUUAGCGAGGCAGUGGGCGAUUAGAACUCUUUCAAAUCA